AGACACUCUGCCAAUUUAAUAAAGAGAGACUUUGUCAUGUGUAUCUCUCCCACAGCUUCCUGGCCAGAGUGACAACAGUGUGGAACCAGGGAUGGAGCUGGUAGUCCGAUGUGCCAUCCAGGAGGCAGUGCGGCUGUGCAGAACACCAUUCCUCCACUCCACUUCACUCCAGGGGGUGCUUAAGCUCAAUGGCGGCUCCAUGCACACUCACACACCCUGCUGAAUGGCAUUUGACUCUACACCCCUACAUGCCCCCGAUGUAAAGACGCGGCGACGUGAUUGGUGAGCUCCAGAAGGUUUGGACACAUUGCCUGCGCUCCCUAAUGCAAAUGACACCAUUAGGAGCUUUUGGCCCUGGGAUAAAAAUAAAAACUGUUUUGAUGCGUUUUAAAGCGCUUGUUUGUCAUUUUGUCACCGGCUGCAGUAACCUUGCACAGAAACACACGCGCCACUUACACACCGCUCAUCACGGCACAAACAGCAACUUCUGUUGAUCGUGCGUUUGGCUCGGAACCGACUGGCCGGGCGAGUUUUUUUUCAUCAGACAGCACCCAAAGCACCUGGUAGCGGUUUAUUAACACUAGCUUAAAGUGGCCAGACAAUGUCAAACAAUGACAAACGCCUGCCAGGGGUUGCCCGUUUACAGACAAAUUCUCUGGACAAUGGACUGGCUUGCCUCUCCCCAAGUGGCUCCCAUUCAUUUGCAAUUGCAGGCAAAGAGGUCGUUGUCCUCAAGUGGGCAAUCGAGAAAAGCGUGUGCAUCUGCAGAGCCGAGGUGUACACACACACACACACACUCACACACACACAGACACAAACACACAUCCAUACACAUGAGCGAGGUGAGCACACAGCAGUAGUUACACUGCUACGCUGCAGCCAGUGUGGCCUAGAAUAGCACGCGGGCUACAUUCCUCUGCCCUCCCUCCGCUGCCUGCACUGAGGCGAACACAGCAGACUGGUGGGUCACAUGGACCAACAGCGAUCUCGGUGAUCUAGGCGAUUGAAGUGUGCUCGCGCAUACCAGGGGAACAGUGCCGCUGCACGUACAGUACGCACAGCACUAACACAGAUAAGGAGGUGCGGACAAACUGGGGACAGGCAUUUCAACAUGGAUCUAUCUAUCUCUCUAUUAAACUUAAUGACAGCCCUUUAACUUUCCUGAUUUAACCACAAGAGGAGCAGUUACACAUGAAGACAUUCAGAUUAUUUGGAUUCACAUCAAAUUCCA